GUACUGUGCGAACGUUAUUCGGAAUCACUGGGCUUAAAGGGUGCGUAGGCGGUUCGGUUAGUAGGGUGUGAAAUUUCUCGGGCUCAACCGAGAAACUGCGCUCUAAACUGCCGGACUUGAGUGAGAUAGGGGUGUGUGGAACUUCCAGUGGAGCGGUGAAAUGUGUUGAUAUUGGAAGGAACGCCGGUGGCGAAAGCGGCACACUGGGUCUCAACUGACGCUGAGGCACGAAAGCCAGGGUAGCGAACGGGAUUAGAUACCCCGGUAGUCCUGGCUGUAAACGAUGAGCACUAGAGGGGAGGGGCCUUGCGCCCAUCCGCUCGCAGCGAAAGCAUUAAGUGCUCCGCCUGGGGAGUAUGGUCGCAAGGCUG
rnacentral:rRNA from 1 species